GACGAACGCUGGCGGCGUGCCUAAUACAUGCAAGUCGAGCGCAGGAAACUGACGGAACUCUUCGGAGGGAAGGCAGCGGAAUGAGCGGCGGUCGGGUGAGUAACACGUAAGGAACCUGCCUCAAGGAUUGGGAUAACUCCGAGAAAUCGGAGCUAAUACCGGAUAGUUCAACGGACCGCAUGGUCCGCUGAUGAAAGGCGCUUCGGCGUCACCUUGAGAGGGCCUUGCGGUGCAUUAGCUAGUUGGUGGGGUAACGGCCCACCAAGGCGACGAUGCAUAGCCGACCUGAGAGGGUGAUCGGCCACACUGGGACUGAGACACGGCCCAGACUCCUACGGGAGGCAGCAGUAGGGAAUCUUCCACAAUGGACGAAAGUCUGAUGGAGCAACGCCGCGUGAGUGAUGAAGGUUUUCGGAUCGUAAAACUCUGUUGUAAGGGAAGAACACGUACGAGAGGGAAUGCUCGUACCUUGACGGUACCUUACGAGAAAGCCACGGCUAACUACGUGCCAGCAGCCGCGGUAACAC
rnacentral:rRNA from 1 species